rnacentral:lncRNA from 10 species
CAAAUCUUGGAAUCAGUGUACAGUACUCAAUUGUACCCUUCCAGGUUUCUGGUUCUAUGGCUUGCCCUUUCUGCCCUGGGAAGUCUCUCUCAAGACAAAGCUCCCCUUAUUGGUAGAAGUAUUUUGAUUUGAUUUGAGAUUUCUGUUUGUUGUAAGGCCUCCUUUUUAAAAAAAUAACUUACAUUCCUCCUGAGAUUAAAACAUUUUUGUCUCUUCUGGAAAGUUAUUUCUGUGUAAGGACAAGUGUCCUGGUUUGAAUGCUCUUUUUCUGCAGAAAUUACAUUCUGCCUCUGAGGUGAAAGUCUUUCAGAAUAUAGAUUUAAGAAGAAAAUUAAAACAUGAUAAAAAUAAAGCAGUAAUGAAGAAAGGGAUGUAAACAAACUAUGGGUAUGAAGACGCAUUACUGAAAGGUCAUUUAAAACCACGUGAAACCAUAUGUUAAAGAAGAAACUGAUGAAGAUGGCAACAGAUGAAACUAAAUGUUAUUAAAAUAUGAAAAGGUAUUGUUUGAAUGAUCCAAAAAUAGUAUUAAAUAUUAAAAAUUAAAAUAGACAUUUCUUUAUUAUUAUAUAAUAUUUUUUCAUUAACUGUAUUUGCAACAAAAUGAGUAUAUACCAACAUGUAAAUUUUGGAAUAUUAAUUUUUGAAAAUUUAUUAUAAUUAAUCAUUUUAAUACUAUAUCAAAUGAAAAUAAAA